UUGGGACAUACUUAUGCUAAA
rnacentral:miRNA from 5 species